GACGUAGGAUGCAAGCGUUGUCCGGAUUUAUUGGGCGUAAAGAGUUCGUAGGUGGUUUGUUAAGUCUGAUGUUAAAGACUGGGGCUCAACCUCGGAAAUGCAUUGGAUACUGGCAGACUUGAGUGUGGUAGAGGCAAUCGGAAUUCCAGGUGUAGCGGUGAAAUGCGUAGAUAUCUGGAGGAACACCGGUGGCGAAGGCGGCUCUCUGGUCCAUGACUGACGCUGAGGCGCGAAAGCGUGGGGAGCAAACAGG
rnacentral:rRNA from 1 species